UUUUGAUUUUCAUUUCUCUAAUAAUAAGGGAAGUGGAGCAUAUCUUUAUGUGUCUGUGGACCAUAUGUAUCUCUUCUUUAGAAAGUUUAGUUGUUUGGCCCACUUUUUAACUGGAUUAUUUUUGCUUCUUUUGUAGAUUUAUCUAUGAGUUUUUUUUUUUUUUUUUGUAAAAUGAUCACUGAAUUAUUGAAUCAAGUUUUGUUUCUUGACUUCAUAAUGAGUUUUCUGAACUUUAUCUCUGUCAAUUUUUUUCAGAUCUGUGUCUGUUUGGUCAUUUGCAAUUUCUGUCAUUACUCUCUGUAUAUUCCCCCAUUUCCUCACUUAGUGUGAGCUUUGUUGUUGUGUUUCUAUAUCUUGGUGGGGAGGGGAGAUUUUAUCAUGAGUCACUGAGCUGGUUCUGUGACUUGAUGUCAAUGUAGUCUCCCUACUGUUGUUCCAGCCUCUGUGGGGUAACAGCAAUGGAGACUCGAGAAGUCACAGUUGUAAAUUGAUUCUGCUGGACCCUCAACAACCUAUCAGAAUUUGUUUCGGUCUUCAGCUGAAAACUGCCACAUGAUAAAAAGCAAAUCAUUUCCCAUUAAAGUAAGAGAGCAUGAAUUAGAAUUGGUAUCAGAGGACCCAGCAUAUCAUCAUCCUGGCUAAGCUCUGAAUGACUUCUUGGGUAUCACUUCUUAUUGCUGAAUCUCAACUUUUUUCGUCCAUAAAGGAAGUUAAACUAUAUCAAGACUCCUCAACUUUUAAUGUUUAUAUUAACCACUUAGC